rnacentral:ribozyme from 1 species
UUUUUUUUUUUUUUUUUUUUUUUUUUUUUUUUUA